GAUUGAACGCUGGCGGCAGGCCUAACACAUGCAAGUCGAGCGGUAGAGAGAAGCUUGCUUCUCUUGAGAGCGGCGGACGGGUGAGUAAUGCCUAGGAAUCUGCCUGGUAGUGGGGGAUAACGUUCGGAAACGGACGCUAAUACCGCAUACGUCCUACGGGAGAAAGCAGGGGACCUUCGGGCCUUGCGCUAUCAGAUGAGCCUAGGUCGGAUUAGCUAGUUGGUGAGGUAAUGGCUCACCAAGGCGACGAUCCGUAACUGGUCUGAGAGGAUGAUCAGUCACACUGGAACUGAGACACGGUCCAGACUCCUACGGGAGGCAGCAGUGGGGAAUAUUGGACAAUGGGCGAAAGCCUGAUCCAGCCAUGCCGCGUGUGUGAAGAAGGUCUUCGGAUUGUAAAGCACUUUAAGUUGGGAGGAAGGGCAGUUACCUAAUACGUGAUUGUUUUGACGUUACCGACAGAAUAAGCACCGGCUAACUCUGUGCCAGCAGCCGCGGUAAUACAGAGGGUGCAAGCGUUAAUCGGAAUUACUGGGCGUAAAGCGCGCGUAGGUGGUUAGUUAAGUUGGAUGUGAAAUCCCCGGGCUCAACCUGGGAACUGCAUUCAAAACUGACUGACUAGAGUAUGGUAGAGGGUGGUGGAAUUUCCUGUGUAGCGGUGAAAUGCGUAGAUAUAGGAAGGAACACCAGUGGCGAAGGCGACCACCUGGACUGAUACUGACACUGAGGUGCGAAAGCGUGGGGAGCAAACAGGAUUAGAUACCCUGGUAGUCCACGCCGUAAACGAUGUCAACUAGCCGUUGGGAGCCUUGAGCUCUUAGUGGCGCAGCUAACGCAUUAAGUUGACCGCCUGGGGAGUACGGCCGCAAGGUUAAAACUCAAAUGAAU
rnacentral:ncRNA from 1 species